GGGCGCGUAGCUCAGUUGGCUAGAGCACCUGCCUUACAAGCAGGGGGUCCCCCGUUCGAGCCGGGGCGCGCCCA
rnacentral:tRNA from 1 species